GCCAGCCGGGAGCCGUCGCUGGGCGAGAGGCGGCGGGCAAUGCUAGGAGCCGUGGCAGGAGACGUAGGGACGGGGUGGGGGCCGCGGCGCGAAAGCACCGAGCCGGGCCAGGGGUCCUCCUUCAGGAAGUUAAAAAAAAAGCUUUCUUUUUCUCUUGCCAUCGUUUUCAUAGUAGUUCACAUAAUAACGUUCACACAUAUGUAAGUGCUGGAGCAGUUCCCGCUCCCCCACUGUAUCGUUUUGGCUUAUCAAAAUACCUCGGCACCUCUGUUCUCAUCUGUGGAUGUUGGAUGUGGAAGAGUCUCGCAAAGUUUCCCCCCGGAUAGCGUUUUACCCCUUCUGCCUAAGGAGACUUUUGCUUGGAAUGGGAUUGGGAAACAGUAAGCUUUUUUAUGUGUUUAUAGCAAGAUGAAUAAAGGGACUGGAGAGAGAGAGAAGCAGUAAACUGGGCACGUAGCCCAGUGCUGCUGACUUCUCAAAUGGUACAAUGAGACUCACAAAUAUUUCUAGCUCUCUUUGUUCGAAAGGUUGUGAAAGUAUGACAUGUGGCGAUCUUAAACGUACUCAGAAAACAAAUGAAGAAAUACUGUUAAUACAUCUCCCAAUAUGUUGUUUUUAAAAUCCCAUUACUUUUAAAUUAAUUGUGUAUUUUUUAGGUCCCCGUUUACUAUGUUUUGUGUAUUUCUCAUUGGCAAUAUCGUACUUUGGAGAUAAGCUACCUAUAGAAGCUUGAAACUCCUCUCGGAGAGACUAAUGAGUGUUUUUCUAGUUUUUCUAGUCUAGUAACUAAACUACGUGGAGUCAGUGGGCUGCCCUAGUGAGAAGGAAGUCCUGGAGUCUGCUGGAGUGCAGCGUCCUCUGCAGAUCAGAAUACACAAAGGGAUAGGAGGAAAUCAACCACCAAGGAAAAUCUGCUGUGAAAUGAAAUCGGCUUCUAAGAGUAAAGUUAACAUGCAGGAUAAAGCUAACAGCAGUUAGCUUUAACUGUUUCUAGAUUGAGGCCUCCCAUUCAGGACUCAAACUGAAACUGUGUGACAAAUUAAGUGAUUCAGGCAAGCUCAGGUGCAAGGAAAAACAAGUCAGAUGACAGACUGCUGCCCACUCACUCCAGUAAGUGCAUUCCAUCUCAGCAUGCUUCGCAAGGGAGGGCCGAGGCAGAAGAAAUCUCCACAGCUCUAGUUUGUAACGGAAAAGAAAAUGCUGGCCUUCCUUGGGUUUUCCACUCCAGAACCUCACAGCACGACUGAAUCGGCAAAACUGAAUCUAUUGCUGCAGAAGCAGAGAUGCCGUGGCCUUGAACAGAGGCAUAACUGUCUGUUUCCCGAUUGAAUUAUUUGGCCUGCAUAUAUUGUCAUACAUUUGAGUAGUUCUGUUCAUUCAGGCUUUUAAGCAGUUGCAACUGUGUACAUAAGACAGUUGAUGAGAAGAAGAGUGUGCAGCCUAUAGCCCAAGUUGCCAUAGGCAGCACACAGCAAAACUGUGGAAGGGCUUAUAGGUGGGGAGCAUCUUAAAAAAGACUUUUGUGAGAGACUCCAAGUUUCUGUGUCCUCCUCAAAUCUAAAUGUAGUGGGAGCUUGGAGCUCCCACUUUGCACAGGUCUUGCUGCUGCUGAGGGCUAUAGCAUUUUUUUGCCUCUUGGAGAAGUAGUGUGUCUCAGCUCCUGCUGAGAUCAGAAUGUGAUGGGAGCUGAAAAGCCCUACCUGGGAGCAUCUCCUCCCUUGCAGCAGCAACUGCACAGCUGUUGCUGUGUUUCUAGUGGCAAAUUGAACCUCUAGUUUGUGAAAGACUACUGUUCCCCGCAUUAGUACACUUUGUGGGUCUAUACUAGACUUUGCAUUUCUAUUUUUAUCCAUAUGUCAGGGGAAGAAUGUCUGCAUCUCUCUACAGGAAACCUGAAAGACUUAUAAAUGCAAUUAGCAACAAAGAAUGGAGCUCACUCUUGAUACUCUGAAGGAGGAUUUCACAGUAACCCCAUGUGGGUGGAACUUUCCUACCUGCCUCCAUACUCUCAGUAUUUGCAGACAUGCAAUUACUCCGUAUGUCUAACAAAAAGAAGAGAGUUUCCCAACUACAAAUUUGAUGCUUCAUUACAAAAUGGAGCAUGACAGCUGUUACCACUAUACAUUAAUAAUUCUACUUCACUCUAUGGCUUUAACAGUUGUAGUAACCUAGAUUUAUAAUGACACAUGACAUUCAGCACUGCAUCAUGUAAGGCAACUAAUCCGAUAGUGCCAGGUCACUGAGCUGACCUACAAGUUUUUAACUCUUCUGCCAAAUCUGCUGCCCUAUUUGCUGGAUUAAAAUGAACAAGUGGCACUGUGUUUAUAAAAUUCUAACUAGUCUC